AAGUCGUAACAAGGUUUCCGUAGGUGAACCUGCGGAAGGAUCAUUAGAAAAUAUACUGGACGUAAGUCUAGGAGUAAUGUGGGAUGGAGUGAAAGUUGGGAUUAGCGAUAAUCCCAAUUGAUCUCAAUAAUAUUAUUGUAUGGGAGUAUUUAGACUAGUCGGUAAGACGAUUUUAAAUCUAAAUAACUUUUGGCAACGGAUCUCUUGGCUCUU
rnacentral:misc_RNA from 1 species